CUUCAACGAGCCCAGCCACAGCGGCCGGUCGGCCAGCCGGUCCUGCCCGUAGGCGGCGAUGACCGCCUGGGCCUC
rnacentral:antisense_RNA from 1 species